rnacentral:rRNA from 1 species
GAUAUUAGGAAGAACACCAGUGGCGAAGGCGGCUUACUGGACUGUAACUGACACUGAGGCUCGAAAGCGUGGGGAGCAAACAGGAUUAGAUACCCUGGUAGUCCACGCCCUAAACGAUGGAUACUAGACGAAGCGGAGUAUAAUCUGCUGUGUCGAAGCUAACGCGAUAAGUAUCCCGCCUGAGGAGUACGGCCGCAAGGUUGAAACUCAAAGAAAUUGACGGGGACCCGCACAAGCAGCGGAGCAUGUGGUUUAAUUCGACGCAACGCGAAGAACCUUACCAAGACUUGACAUCGUACGCUAUCUGUGGAAACAUGGAGUUUCCCUUCGGGGAACGUGCAGACAGGUGGUGCAUGGUUGUCGUCAGCUCGUGUCGUGAGAUGUUCGGUUAAGUCCGGCAACGAGCGCAACCCUUGUAUCCAGUUGCCAAUAUUAAGUUAGGAACUCUGGAUAGACUGCCGUGGUAAACACGGAGGAAGGUGGGGAUGAGGUCAAAUCAUCAUGCCCCUUACGUCUUGGGCCACACACGUGCUACAAUGGGCGCUACAAAGAGUCGCUAGACGGUAACGUUAAGCUAAUCUCAAAAAAGCGUUCUCAGUUCGGAUUGUGGGCUGCAACCCGCCCACAUGAAGUCGGAGUUGCUAGUAAUCCCGAAUCAGCAUGUCGGGGUGAAUGCGUUCCCGGGUCUUGUACACACCGCCCGUCACGCCAUAGG